rnacentral:lncRNA from 1 species
GGCUGACUUAUCUGUCCUGUGUGCCAUGGAGACCAGAUGGAGAGCUGCGGACAGCUGUGUGUCCUGCUCUGGUUCCAUCUUGGUGCCGAUGCCCACCUGCAAGGCAGAGAGGGGGGAAGAAAGGAGCAGCCUCCUGCCCGGCUUCCCUGUGCUGCCCUCUCCUGCACAGCACUGCUCACCGUUGUUGGUCUGCCUGCCGUUGCCAUGGCCAUGAGUGGAAAGGGUCACUGCAAUCAGCAGGUCUGAUGCCAGCUCCUGCAGUGGGGCCACGAAGCAGCAGCAAACAUUGGGGUAGGGCA